UGGGGGGGCUGCGGGGAGGGGAGGGCCCGGGGGGAUCCGGGAGGGUCCCGGGAUGGGAGGCUGCGGGCACCCCGUGGUGCUGGGGGCUGGGGGUACCCCGUGGUGCUGGGGACCCAGGGACCCAUGGGUGCCGUGGGGUUCCUCAGGUGCUGCAGGCACGGGGGGCUCGGGGGGCUCCCAGCUCGGAGGGCGAGGCCAGGGCUAAGCCCUCACAUGCAUUUGGGGAAGCCGCCACCGUCCCCCGCCUGUGCCUGAGUGCCCACCCUGCGUGGAUUCAGCCCCCCUGCCACAGGACGGGCACAGGCUGUCGGGGUUUGUUGUCCACCCCGUGCAUCGUCACCGUCCCCGAAAAAUUUGGAAGGUGGUGGUGGAAAAUGCUGGUGGGCUGCAGUGCGGGUGCAGGACUGGCAGUAGGUGUUUCGUAGCAGAGCCCUGUAGGUGCAGUGGGGUACCCAGAGCCAUUCCCCAGGCGAGCCAACCGUGCACCCGCUGUCCGGGCACUGUGUGAGCUCGGGGAGGUCCCAGCAUCGCUGCAGCGGGUGGGAGCCCGAGUAGCUCCCUGGCCUCCCGACCGGCCGACCCAGGCAAUGGUGACGACAGCUCCAGAAAGAAGAGCCCAGCCCUCAAAUCAGGCUGUGGGGAAGACCAAACUUUUCUCCCCUCCCUCUGUCCCUGUGUCGGUGCCGGCACACCCACCCCGUGCGCGGCCAAGGACCUGCUGCAGCCCCGGAUGGCCCAGGCACGGGCUGCCCCGUCCGUCCCAUCCAGCUGGGGCAGAGGCAUUGAGGGGAAGGGGCGNUGAGCACCCAAACCCCCCUGGCUGUGCCCAGCCCACCACAUCGGCGGUGGCAUCGCAGGUGAUGUGUCCCUGUGACAGCCAGCUCAGGGCUGUGACGGCUCCGUGCGAGGAUCCCAAAUCCCAGCAGGUCGCUGGCAGCUCCAGCCCUCUCGCUGCGGAGGAAGCCGCCUGCUUGCUCAGUGGUUUCCCUUUAACUUUGGAACAGCCUCAGCCCGGGGCUUCAGGGCUUAUCGCCCGUGCGCAGCUUCAAGGGAAACGUGCCUCGCGAAGAUAAAUCAAGUCGCACUGGCCGGGGCUGCUCUGGACUCUGUUCUUCUCACAUUCCUCAUGACCUCAGUGUUUUGGCUCGGAGGACGGCCAGGGAGCGCCGUCAGCAUGUCCAGCCCUGGGCGGUCGCCUCGCUCCAGCCCCGUGGAUCGUGGGGCUGGGGGAGCAGCCCCGCUGCACCCCUCGCCAGGGGAUGCGGUGCAGAGGUGGCCAAAGCUUAAAAAUCGCUCACCCACUGGCCCUGGGCUUUGGCACUGGAGGAGCAUCGCCCCAUGGAUGAGGCCAGCAGCUCGCAGUGGGUUGGGCUCAGCCUGGGGUGCGGUGCUGGGUGGUCCUGAGCCAGGAUUCCUCUCCAGGCCUGGACGGCAGAUUCAGCUCCGGUGGCUGUGUGGGCGCAGCUCAGCAUCCAGCUUGGCUCCUGGGCCUCUCACCUGCUGUGGGAUUUUAUUGUACUCGAGCUGAGGAGCUCCACUUUGGCCCAAAGUUUCCUGUGUGGGCAUCAGUACGACAGCAAGGGGAUAAAACAAGUGUGGCACCAGCGCGGAGCAUGGCCCCGGCUCUGCAGGGACAACCCAGUCCUUGUCCAUCCCCGUCUUGCUUAAGAGCCUCCCCAGCAGCACUGCAGCAUGUGCCAACCAGCUUUUGUGCAGAGAUGCCAGGGCCAGAAAUGAUGCUUUAACUUCUUCCGAAGGGAGCUGGGAUGGCACAGGGGCCUCCCAUCCCCGGGACCGGUGCUUUGAGCACAGCACCAGGUCCUGGCACGUCUCCUCCUGGGCACAGGGGUGCCCGCUGGCUCGGCAGGGCUGUGGAGGCACCCGGCAGCACCCAGCCCGGUGUCCAGGGGAGCGGCCGAGGCUGCCAAAACCCAGCCUUCUGCAACAAAGCCACCGACACGGUCCUCCCCGCCCUGGCUUGAGCAGAGAUGGAGAGCGGCUGCUCUUUGAACCGGUGCCGCGGUGCUGGCGGCCGCAGGGACAAGGCUGGCUUUGUGUGGCUGAGCCCAGCAGGUGACAGCUGGGACGUGGGGACUUAACCCUCUCGCCGCUGUUGCGUGUCAGCUCCUCUUCUCGAGCCUCCAGAGCUCAACUUUGGCCUGAUGCUCUCCUCUCCUCCCCUCCCAGCCCUGGGUCACUGGCGUGGAGGGGAUGGCUAAAAGGCAGCGAGUGCCACAGAGCAGGGGCACCGUUGCCACGAGCUUUACGGGAGGCGUCGCGGUGCCCGGCCCUUGCAGCCCCCUGCAGAGCAGAGCUGAGCACGGCGGUGCUGAGCGCGGUGGCUUUUCCUGGCUUGGCCCCAGGCAGGACAAUUCCCGGUCGCGCAGCGGAAGGGAGCUGCCGGGCCGCUUCCCCGAGGAAAUGCGCCCGUGCUCGGGGCCGCGCGGCCGCUGCUGUUGCUCUCCCUUUUCCUCCUGCUUGAUCCACGGUGAGCACGAAGCCCGGUGAGGACUCGAUCCUGGCCUCAGCUCUUUUUUUUUAACUUGCACCGAGGGCACCAGGCCCGGUGCAGGAGGACACCGGCCGCUUCCCCAGUUCAGCGAGGAGGAGGACGCGUGAGCCUGUUGGGCAUGAGGCCGGGAUGGGGUGGCAGCAUGGAGGUAGCUCUUCGCCGAGAAGAUCCUGAGGGAGGCAGAGGCAAUUGUCUCAGGAUGCUCAUCAGCUGGGGUGGGUUGGUGGGGUCAGGGAGCCCAGGUUUUGAUCCUGCCCAGCCGGACCCAGCCCCUCAUCCCCGUGUGCCAGGGUCGGGUGAGAGCCAGGUAGGAGCGUGGAGCAUCCCUGUGUGGGGAGAGGUUCGUGCAGUCCCAGGUGCUGCUCCUGGGGCCAGCUGAGCAAUUUGCAGUGAGUCACUCGCUACAACUCGUUAAAAUGAGGCGUUGGGCUUGGGGGCAGAGUGGGGCCAGGGAGAGGAACGCAGUGCCCAAUGCUCGGUCCCAAAGGUUCGGUUGUGGAUGCCAGCGGUCCCUGUGCCCUUUUCCAGGCAAUGCUGAUCCCCAGCUUCCCUCAGGCAGAUCGGACCUGGUCCUUUUCUGUGGUGUUGAUGCCUCUGGGCCUCUCUGGCCGCUCACACCAUCCCUGAGCUGCUCUCCAAAUAGGCCUCGAUGUGCCAGCAGCUUCCUCCGACUCGCCCACGGGGGCACUUGUCCUGUGCCUUCUUCCUGAGGGUGCCGAAAAUAGCCCAGUGCCAAAUGCUCUGCCCGCUGACAGCUGCACAGCGCCCUGUGGGGAGGGUCCCCACAUACCUCCAGCACAGGGACCCCCAGGCAGGGUGGGCAUGGGCAUGGAGAGCCCUGGGGACACGGGGACCAGCGGUGGAGCUCCCGGGACAGACAUUGCUUGAGUGACAGCUGCUUCCUACAAGGGAUCAGCGAAGCUGGGAACAGGAAUGUUCCCAGCACCGGGCUUGAUUUGGCUCAAAUGUUUUCCACCAGGCAAUAUUGUUCCCGCAGCCCCAGUGCCCAGAUGCAGCAGGUUGGAGCUGAACAAUUGCAGCUGCCAGCCCCUCAGCG
rnacentral:lncRNA from 1 species